GAGAUAGGACGUCCCCUUCGGGGGCAGAGUGACAGGUGGUGCAUGGUUGUCGUCAGCUCGUGUCGUGAGAUGUUGGGUUAAGUCCCGCAACGAGCGCAACCCUUGAUCUUAGUUGCCAGCAUUCAGUUGGGCACUCUAAGGUGACUGCCGGUGACAAACCGGAGGAAGGUGGGGAUGACGUCAAAUCAUCAUGCCCCUUAUGACCUGGGCUACACACGUGCUACAAUGGACAGAACAAAGGGCAGCGAAACCGCGAGGUUAAGCCAAUCCCACAAAUCUGUUCUCAGUUCGGAUCGCAGUCUGCAACUCGACUGCGUGAAGCUGGAAUCGCUAGUAAUCGCGGAUCAGCAUGCCGCGGUGAAUACGUUCCCGGGCCUUGUACACACCGCCCGUCACACCACGAGAGUUUGUAACACCCGAAGUCGGUGAGGUAACCUUUUAGGAGCCAGCCGCCGAAGGUGGGACAGAUGAUUGGGGUGAAGUCGUAACAAGGUAGCCGUAUCGGAAGGUGCGGCUGGAUCACCU
rnacentral:rRNA from 1 species